rnacentral:rRNA from 1 species
AUUGAACGCUGGCGGCAGGCCUAACACAUGCCAGUCGAGCGGAUGAAGGGAGCUUGCUCCUGGAUUCAGCGGCGGACGGGUGAGUAAUGCCUAGGAAUCUGCCUGGUAGUGGGGGAUAACGUCCGGAAACGGGCGCUAAUACCGCAUACGUCCUGAGGGAGAAAGUGGGGGAUCUUCGGACCUCACGCUAUCAGAUGAGCCUAGGUCGGAUUAGCUAGUUGGUGGGGUAAAGGCCUACCAAGGCGACGAUCCGUAACUGGUCUGAGAGGAUGAUCAGUCACACUGGAACUGAGACACGGUCCAGACUCCUACGGGAGGCAGCAGUGGGGAAUAUUGGACAAUGGGCGAAAGCAUGAUCCAGCCAUGCCGCGUGUGUGAAGAAGGUCUUCGGAUUGUAAAGCACUUUAAGUUGGGAGGAAGGGCAGUAAGUUAAUACCUUGCUGUUUUGACGUUACCAACAGAAUAAGCACCGGCUAACUUCGUG